rnacentral:rRNA from 1 species
GACGAACGCUGGCGGCGUGCUUAACACAUGCAAGUCGAACGGAAAGGCCCUGCUUUUGUGGGGUGCUCGAGUGGCGAACGGGUGAGUAACACGUGAGUAACCUGCCCUUGACUUUGGGAUAACUUCAGGAAACUGGGGCUAAUACCGGAUAGGAGCUCCUGCUGCAUGGUGGGGGUUGGAAAGUUUCGGCGGUUGGGGAUGGACUCGCGGCUUAUCAGCUUGUUGGUGGGGUAGUGGCUUACCAAGGCUUUGACGGGUAGCCGGCCUGAGAGGGUGACCGGCCACAUUGGGACUGAGAUACGGCCCAGACUCCUACGGGAGGCAGCAGUGGGGAAUAUUGCACAAUGGGCGGAAGCCUGAUGCAGCAACGCCGCGUGCGGGAUGACGGCCUUCGGGUUGUAAACCGCUUUCGCCUGUGACGAAGCGUGAGUGACGGUAAUGGGUAAAGAAGCACCGGCUAACUACGUGCCAGCAGCCGCGGUGAUACGUAGGGUGCGAGCGUUGUCCGGAUUUAUUGGGCGUAAAGGGCUCGUAAGGUGGUUGAUCGCGUCGGAAGUGUAAUCUUGGGGCUUAACCCUGAGCGUGCUUUCGAUACGGGUUGACUUGAGGAAGGUAGGGGAGAAUGGAAUUCCUGGUGGAGCGGUGGAAUGCGCAGAUAUCAGGAGGAACACCAGUGGCGAAGGCGGUUCUCUAGGCCUUUCCUGACGCUGAGGAGCGAAAGCGUGGGGAGCGAACAGGCUUAGAUACCCUGGUAGUCCACGCUGUAAACGGUGGGUACUAGGUGUGGGGUCCAUUCCACGGGUUCCGUGCCGUAGCUAACGCUUUAAGUACCCCGCCUGGGGAGUACGGCCGCAAGGCUAAAACUCAAAGGAAUUGACGGGGCCCCGCACAAGCGGCGGAGCAUGCGGAUUAAUUCGAUGCAACGCGUAGAACCUUACCUGGGUUUGACAUGGAUCGGGAGUGCUCAGAGAUGGGUGUGCCUCUUUUGGGGUCGGUUCACAGGUGGUGCAUGGCUGUCGUCAGCUCGUGUCGUGAGAUGUUGGGUUAAGUCCCGCAACGAGCGCAACCCUUGUUCACUGUUGCCAGCACGUUAUGGUGGGGACUCAGUGGAGACCGCCGGGGUCAACUCGGAGGAAGGUGGGGAUGACGUCAAGUCAUCAUGCCCCUUAUGUCCAGGGCUUCACGCAUGCUACAAUGGCUGGUACAGAGAGUGGCGAGCCUGUAAGGGUGAGCGAAUCUCGGAAAGCCGGUCUCAGUUCGGAUUGGGGUCUGCAACUCGACCUCAUGAAGUCGGAGUCGCUAGUAAUCGCAGAUCAGCAACGCUGCGGUGAAUACGUUCCCGGG